rnacentral:rRNA from 1 species
UACGAAGGGGGCUAGCGUUGCUCGGAAUCACUGGGUUUAAAGGGUGCGUAGGCGGCUUUUUAAGUCAGUGGUGAAAUCCAGCAGCUUAGCUGUUGAAUUGCCAUUGAUACUGGAGAGCUUGAGUACAGACGAGGUAGGCGGAAUUUAUGGUGUAGCGGUGAAAUGCAUAGAUACCAUAAAGAACACCAUUGCGAAGGCAGCUUACUAGGCUGUAACUGACGCUGAGGCACGAAAGUGUGGGGAUCAAACAGG